GAUGAACGCUAGCGGCAGGCCUAAUACAUGCAAGUCGGACGGGAUUUGGGAGCUUGCUCCUAAUGAGAGUGGCGCACGGGUGCGUAACACGUAUGUAACCUACCUUAAUCAGGGGGAUAGCCUCUCGAAAGAGAGAUUAACACCGCAUAAUAUAUUUUUAUGGCAUCGUAGAAAUAUCAAAUAUUUAUAGGAUUAAGAUGGGCAUGCGGAACAUUAGCUAGUUGGUAAGGUAACGGCUUACCAAGGCUACGAUGUUUAGGGGAUCUGAGAGGAUGACCGCCCAUACUGGUACUGAGACACGGACCAGACUCCUACGGGAGGCAGCAGUAAGGAAUAUUGGUCAAUGGGCGCAAGCCUGAACCAGCCAUGCCGCGUGCAGGAAGACGGCCCUAUGGGUUGUAAACUGCUUUUGUACCGGAAUAAACCCUUUUACGUGUAAGAGGCUGAAUGUACGGUAAGAAUAAGGAUCGGCUAACUCCGUGCCAGCCGCCGCCGUAA
rnacentral:rRNA from 1 species